rnacentral:sRNA from 1 species
UUUUUUGGUUUUAUUUUGAUUUAUUUUUAUUUUCGGGUUUUCGCACACACAAACGACAAAAACAAAAGUAAUUCUUUUAAUAUGAGUGAAACACGCGUUGCUCUCCGCUCGCGGCUCGGAUUCGAAAUGAAGAACUUCAACGGCUGCGCAUGCGAUGCCCCAAUUGGGCCCCAAGCAAAGCCAGAGAGAGGGAGAGGACACUUUUUUCCAUUGUGUGCGUCAGUACAGGGUGUUGUAUACACAGAGAGCGCACUCACGACAAGCCUGAGAACGAGUGUACCGCGUUAUAACUGUGAGUUUAACGAAGACGACGACGAGAGAGAGCGAAGAGAGCGUGUGGGUACAAUUAUAAAAUUACAUAGCUGUUAAGGUCGCUGAGGACAGCCAGCUGUGACGUCACAAUUAACCAAUCAAGUUUUGCGAUAUGCAAAACCGCAGGCACCACCAACAAAGCCAGUGACAAAUGCACACACGCAAAACAGCAACACAGCAGAUAGACAGAUAGAGCCAAGCGCAUACACGCAAGACUGGGAGAGAGACAGACAGAAGACAGACAGACAAAGAGAAACUGCGAUUGCAUCCCCAGCACCUGUCAUCAACGUUGUAAACCGAUGAUCUCCUCCAGAUGCCAGAUGGGGAAUGAGAGAAUAAGAAAGAGACGCAGAAGAAGCAGCAGCAAAAAACGCUUAACCGUAAGCUUAGCCUUGUGCGUGAGUUGGGACAGGUCCAGUGCAAACCUGGCCAGUGGCCAUUCCUCAACUACUGUCCACUCUCAGAGCGAUUCCCGAUGCACAGCACAGGGGAAUCUGCGUAUGAUUCAUUGCGAUUGAUUCACCCAGUCGGAUUGCCGCUUAAUUGAACAGCUGCUGACGCUACUGUGUCUGGAAAAUGGCCCCCAGUACCCGGAGAAACCGUUGUCCGUAUAUACAGUAUCUAGGGAUGUGGGCACGAGAAUGAUUUCAUUUCAAACGAAGAACAAAUGAAGUUGUUUUACUCAUUUAAAUUCGGCAUAACCCGUUCAGUCGGAAUGUUUGCAUGUUUGAUUAUGAUAUCCACAGUACAGUUACAUAUGCUUGAUGACUCCACUUGGCAGAGGGUAGAGGCAUUCCCUCUAUGGAUUUCCUUAUGGGAGAUUUUUGGGUAUCGAAAAACACUCAAACUUGAUUAAAUAUUAACUCAAACGGUGCAUGACUCAUGGGCGUGUGCGAGUUCGCUGGAAAUUAAAGCACAUCUCGCUAUGAUUGUUGCCUGGGCGAGGGACUAACGCUGCAACAUUUUUAUGAUCUGCGAAUCUAUGGAUUUUCGUUGCAAACUUCGAGAAGCAACAAAAUUUACUUGACUUGGCUGCUAGAGAUGGACUGUGGAAAAAUUUCACGAGCUUCCCUGUGAUAUUUCACUAUCGAGUGCUAGAGCUUCGGGCCCGAGUCGCUUGCAAUGAGCGUGUGAAGCUGGCCUGCAAGCUGGUAGAAGUCAGCGCUGGCCCUGGACCAACAGUCCGAUAUGAUCUACUAUGCCCAUGGCAAGUGAAUCGAUGGAAAGAACAAAAAAACCCUUGUUUCCAUGCACAUCUCGCAAGUAAUCUUGCAUUGCCGCCUGGGGGGGUUUUGUGUACUGUCUGGACGACAAGACCUGACUGGAGAAAGAGCGUUGUUCCGCGGAGCUGUAGCGUAUGCAGCAGAUCACCGACAUCACUGCCGUGUGGACAACGGAUGCACAGUCGCACCAAGUGCUCCAAGCAUCUGAUGCUGCUGGAGGACAAGGCGCGUAUCCGGCCUAUGAGCCAGAUCAUUUCACGUGCGCGGCCCCAGUGGCGGGGAAUAGUGACAUGAACAAGGACUGCAUACCCGCCUCCUGACGCUGUGACGGCCAAAAGGACUGCCCAGACAAGUCGGAUGAGGUGGGCUGUCCCACCUGCCGGGUGGAUCAGUUCAGCUGCCAGUCCGGCGAGUGCAUCCACAAGGCCCUGGCCUGCGAUGGUACCACCAACUGUGACAACGGCCACGAUGAGGUCGACUGCUGCAAGCGGCUAGGAGAAUUUCAGUCUCCCAUCAACAAGUAAAGCACGCCGUCAAGCAUGCCCUUUUAAAGAAUUUAAAAAUUCAAUAGAGAACCUGCUGGACAUUGCAUUCGAGGUGCAACGCGACCAAGCUGCGGAUGAAGAUGGAGCGAAAAGACUCUGGACGAGUGUGCCAGGUUACCACCUUCCACAAUGCCGUCUACAAGGACCCCAGGUCCGAAGACGAUACUGCAGCGGAGUAUAAUCCGGUGAAACAGUCCAAGAGCUCGAGAGGCAUCGGGAUCUGUGUGCGUCGGACCAGACAGCUCGCCUACUUGCGUACCCAGCCGCGAGUAAAGUGAGGAGCUCAGCUAAAGGUUGAGCUGGCCAACGAUGUCUGCUGAAACAGUAUCUUCAUAUUAAAAUAACGAAAUAGGAAAUACAAAGGCCUAUACUACGGCUUACACGCAACAUUUCUUCAAAUACCAGCAACAUGGCGACUG